rnacentral:pre_miRNA from 1 species
AUAAUACUCCCUCCGUCCGGACUUACUUGUCAUCAAAAUGGAUGUGUCUAGAACUAAAAUACAUCUAGAUACAUCCAUUUCAAUGACAAGUAUUUUCGGACGGAGGGAGUAGUAG